GAGGACUGGAAGGUGGUGACGAUGAUGAUCGGCAUGAACGACAUCUGCGAUUACUGUAAAGACAAAACGCAGUUCUCCCCCGACCGCUUCAUUCACCACAUGACAAACGCUCUGGACAUGAUGAUGAAGGAGAUUCCCCGGACGAUCGUGAACGUGGUGCAGAUUCUUCCCAUGAAGCCUCUCAGAGAAGUUCAGAGACCCACUCUGGGCUGUCAGCUGCAAAAGUUACCUCCAUCUUUUUAACCUCUCGGGGGCCCUCAGAGUGACAGCAGGGGGUCCGCCAAAUUAUUGUUUGAUAAUGUUUUUAAUUUAAUUCAUUUUUUAAUUUAAUAUGUUUAAAAAAUACACAUUACAGUCACAUGAAAAUGCUUAAUGUUCCUAUAAUUAUUAUUUGUUUUUGAGUUAAGCAUUUAUUUAUUCACUUAUUCAGAAUAAACCUUAAUAUCCCAAACAAUAUGCAUCAAAACAUAUUAAGAUAUUAAUAUGUUUAUUUAUAUAAUAUUUAAUAUAUUAAUAUAUAAUCUGUUCCCUUUCUAAC
rnacentral:lncRNA from 1 species